GGACCUAGAUGCCCAAGGUAUGUACGCCGUCCUUGCCAAGUCUUCCAUCUCCUCUCAUGUACGGCGGGACCUAGACUGAUUACAUUCAUCUUGGGCAUGCAUACGUGGUUGGUGACCUUGCGUGCCGCCAUUGCCGGAGGCUGGCUGGCUGGAUGGACGGGCGUCCGCGGUGCCGGUGUUUUGCAGCCUUACAUCUCAGGGAAGAUGCUUGCUAAAAUGUGUGCAUGCCAAGAUUCCUGCGGUUCCAGACUGAUUGCUGGUGCGGAUGGGAGGUGGAUGCCCGCACGGAUCUGGCG